UGGGGAAUCUUCCGCAAUGGGCGAAAGCCUGACGGAGCAACGCCGCGUGAGUGAAGACGGCCUUCGGGUUGUAAAGCUCUGUUAUAUGGGACGAACGGGUGUAUGGUCAAUACCCAUACGCCGUGACGGUACCGUAAGAGAAAGCCACGGCUAACUACGUGCCAGCAGCCGCGGUAAUACGUAGGUGGCAAGCGUUGUCCAGAAUCAUUGGGCGUAAAGGGCGCGCAGGCGGUUCGGUAAGUCGGUCUUAAAAAGUGCGGGGCUUAAC
rnacentral:rRNA from 1 species